rnacentral:tRNA from 1 species
GUCUGUGUAAUAUAUACAUUAUACUGGUCUUGUAAACCAGAAAAGGAGAACCAAUUUCCCCCAUAGACU